CCCCACACCAAAUCUAAGAGAUGAAAAACAUUAGUUACAAAAAUCAGUCCAAAAUUGUGGAUUUUGUGGUAGUGAAACAGAUUUUGCCAUUUUAAAUAGUGCUCAGAACACUGCAUGUGUAGGGUCUUUUUAAAAAUUAUUUUGCUAUAUUAACACUUCCUCUGAAACCACAUUCUGAAUGUGCUCCAUCUGAUAACUGUGCAAUGCAGAAAUUAUACACUUGGAAAACUCAUUAUAAGAUGACAGCAUUAUGUUAAUGUGUACUAAAAAUUACUACAAGUUGUAACUUCAAAUUUCCCUGCCUCCCCCCUCCAAAAAGAAAAAAACAAAAAAGGAAAAAAAAAUCAGCAUGCACUUCUGCAUUAAGCAUCUUUUGGCUUUUUUUUUUUUUUUUGCCAAGAAGUAUGAUUUAAUAAGAUAAUACAUUGUUGACUCACCACAGCAUGUGCUAUGUGUCAUCUAUAGGAAAUAGUUCAAAGGCAUCAACUUCAUGCAUAGGUUGCCAUAGCUGAUAUUUGAGUCUGGCCUGCUGUUGGUACAGGUUUCUAAUACUAGCCCUAAGCACAAAAAAAGAGAAAGAAAUAUUUGGGGUUUAUUUCUCAAGUCUGAUUGACACAGAAGUUUUCAGAAAACUAAAUUAACCUGGAAUAUCAAUAUCUGCACAUUAUAUAACAAAGAAUUUAGAUUUUCCUCUGAUAAUACCAUAAUGCAUCCCAUUCAGGCAGUAUCUGUACCAUAAAUUUCCUUUCUUCCACUCAAAGAAGAAAGGCAGGAGACAGAAAAAAAUGCAGAAUAAAGUGCUGUUUAAAUGGGAGAAGUGUGUCACAGUUAUUCCCCCAUCAGUAAAAAAAAGGAAAAAAAAAAAAAAAAAAAAAAAGAUGGGCAGUUGGUUUCAAGGUAAAUCACCGUUUUCCUUUAAAGAACUGAAUAAAAGCCUGGGGAAGAGGGUAGAAGAGAACAGAAAAAGGGGAGGCAAAAUGUCUGAUAAUAAUGAAAUAAAAGGGGAGGGGGGGAAGAGUGGCUUGCUGAAUCACGCUCUUUCACUGCCUGGAAACCAUUGUGCAGCGUGA
rnacentral:lncRNA from 1 species